rnacentral:rRNA from 1 species
CACUGUGGGACCGCCGCUGCUAAAGCGGAGGAAGGAAUGGGCAACGGUAGGUCAGUAUGCCCCGAAUAUCCCGGGCUACACGCGAGCUACAAUGGUUGGUACAAUGGGUAUCUACCCCGAAAGGGGGAUGGAAAUCUCCUAAAGCCAAUCUUAGUCCGGAUUGAGGGCUGCAACUCGCCCUCAUGAAGCUGGAAUCCGUAGUAAUCGCGUUCAACAGAACGCGGUGAAUACGUCCCUGCUCCUU